UGAGGAAUCUUGGACAAUGGGCGCAAGCCUGAUCCAGCCAUGCCGCGUGAGUGAUGAAGGCCUUCGGGUUGUAAAGCUCUUUUAGCUGUGAAAAUGAUGAUGGUAGCAGCAGAAAAAGCCCCGGCUAACUCCGUGCCAGCAGCCGCGGUAAUACGGAGGGGGCGAGCGUUGUUCGGAAUUACUGGGCGUAAAGCGUAUGUAGGCGGCUUUGUAAGUCGGGUGUGAAAUCCCGGGGCUUAACCCCGGAACUGCAUUCGAGACUGCAAGGCUUGAGUACCGGAGAGGUUGGCGGAAUUCCCAGUGUAGAGGUGAAAUUCGCAGAUAUUGGGAGGAACACCGAUGGCGCAAGCAGCCAACUGGACGGUCACUGACGCUGAGAUACGAAAGCGUGGGGAGCAAA
rnacentral:rRNA from 1 species